rnacentral:tRNA from 1 species
GGAUAUGGAAAAGUGGGGUUCAUUCUUCACACGCAUGAGGUCACAGGUUCGAGUCCUGUAGUCUCCACCA